rnacentral:lncRNA from 1 species
GGUGAAGGUACGCUCGAGCGUGGUCAUUGAGGACAAGUCGACGAGAGAUCCCGAGUACAUCUACAGUCAGCCUUACGUCUGCAGGUGUACCCAACAGCUCCGAAGAGACAGCGACCAUCGAGAACGGGCCAUGAUGACGAUGGCGGUUUUGUCGAAAAGAAAAGGGGGAAAUGUGGGGAAAAGCAAGAGAGAUCAGAUUGUUACUGUGUCUGUG